UGACCUCGGAUCAGGUAGGAUUACCCGCUGAACUUAAGCAUAUCAAUAAGCGGAGGAAAAGAAACCAACAGGGAUUGCCCCAGUAACGGCGAGUGAAGCGGCAACAGCUCAGAUUUGGAAUCUGGCCUUCGGGUCCGAGUUGUAAUCUGGAGAGGAUGCUUCUGGCGCGGUGCCUUCCGAGUUCCCUGGAACGGGACGCCGGAGAGGGUGAGAGCCCCGUACGGUUGGACACCUAGCCUUUGUGAAGCUCCUUCGACGAGUCGAGUAGUUUGGGAAUGCUGCUCAAAAUGGGAGGUAAAUUUCUUCUAAAGCUAAAUAUUGGCCAGAGACCGAUAGCGCACAAGUAGAGUGAUCGAAAGAUGAAAAGCACUUUGAAAAGAGAGUUAAAAAGUACGUGAAAUUGUUGAAAGGGAAGCGCCUGUGGCCAGACUUGCGCCGCACGGACCAUCCAGCGUUCUCGCUGGUGCACUCCGCGCGGCGCAGGCCAGCAUCGGUUUUCCUAGGGGGAUAAAGGUCGCGGGAACGUAGCUCCUCCGGGAGUGU
rnacentral:rRNA from 1 species